rnacentral:lncRNA from 1 species
UCUGUUUCCAAAAUAAUAUUAAUGCGAUAUUUAAAUAACUUUACUCAAAAAGGCCCUUAUUCCUUGUUCACCAAGUACCACUAUUCAAAACCUCCUAUCCAAAUAGUUUUAACCUAGUUAAUUAAAAGUAAAACCAAGUAGUACGAAGAAGGUGUUUUUCAGUUCUUCUCAAAUUCCAAAAGAACCCUCCCCUUAUUGGGGGUUCAUUCAGGUGCCCAAAAAGCUUUUGGCUGGGGCUUCAUCCAGGUGCCCAAAAAGUUUUUGGCCGAAUUAACCUGAAUUAAGCUCAAAAAUGGACUUCACUCUGGUUUACUAAGGAAACAAAAAGCACCUAUAUGACUGCAAUAGUUGUGUGUCUGUGUGGUCGGACAACCAAGAUGGACAGAAAAAAGAAGAGGACCCCCGUGGGGGGAUGUGAAGCCAGGGUUCCCAGUAGUGAUUGGAGAGCUACAACAUAUCUUUAAUCAUACAUUUAGGAAAACACUAAUCAAAUGCAUAUGCAAUAUAAUAAAAAAGUAAUGGUUAUUUAUCUAAAAUCUUCUACAAUCACUGCAGCUCUGUGUUUCCAAAAUAACUCUACUCAAAAAGGCCCUUAUUCCUUGUUCACCAAGUAACACUAUUCAAAACCCCCUAGCCAAUAGUUUUAACCCAGUUAAUUAAAACCAAGUAGUAUGAAGAAGGUGCUUUUCGGUUCUUCUCAAAUCCCAAAAGUACCCCUCUUUAUUCGGGCUUCAUUCAGGUGCCCAAAAAGCUUUUGGCUGGGGCUUCAUUCAGCUGCCCAACAAGUUUUGGCUCAAUUAACCUGAAUAAAGCUCAAAAUUGAACUUUAUUCUGGUUCACUAAAGAAUCAAAAAGCACCUAUAUGAUGGCAAUAGUUGUGUGUCUGUGUGGUGGGACGGUCAGUCUAUCUGAGACCAAUGAUGGAACAUCAAAACUGAAAAUCCACAUUAUUAAAGAUAAUCUACAAUAAUAAAAAUCCAAGGUAUUAAAAAAUUGACACUUCAAAGAUUUCUUGCCCAUGUAUUGAAAUGGUCACAACAUGGACAAUUUCAGUGGCAUGAUACAAUUCAUCAUUUCUUUUUUGUAAUUUAGAAGCAUCAAAAUUAAUUGAACUUUGUUCUUUAUGUGUUUUAGGAUAUCUAGAUCAUGGUCAAGACUGAGUAGUUUGGAUUCCAUAAAUUUGGUCUAACAAUGUAUUUCAGCAUAGCAACUUUAAUUAGUCUUUCCAUUUUCAUUUUACUUAAAACAUAGGCAAGAGACAACCAACAUAUAAAUAAAUAUUUUUAAACUUCCAGGCAUUCUAAAAAUUAUAGUUCAUGAUCAACAUUAGGAAUCCUCGAUCUAUAAGGCCCAUCACUGAAUUAGAGCUAGUAGAGUUGAAUCUUCAACGUCCUCAGCCCCCAAUACUAGUACCCUCUCCAUGUAUGUACAUACAUGUCUAGAUGGCUGCCAGUUAGGAGGCAAAGACAUAAGACACGUUUG